rnacentral:misc_RNA from 1 species
CCAACUCUCGACAUCUUCUUCCUCCCCAAGAAGAUUCCUAAAAAAAUUAAAGCAUCUCUCUUCUUCCUAAACAUCAACGAGAGGAGACUUCUGGGCGCCAUCUAGAUUAAAAAGGUUAGUCAUUUUUUAAAUUUUUUUUACCAUAUGUCUUUGUUUACGUUGAAUUAAGUGAUAAUGGGGACGUGAGGCAUCUCAUCAUUGUUCACAAUUACUUUAAUCAAUUCAAUUCAAUCUUUCAAUUUCAAUUUUGGGUGACUGAUUUCUUCCCACCAACUUUAAAUUACCAUAAAUCCAAAAACUUCAAAAUUUUAAUCUAUGUAACGCCUUCAUAGUUUAAAUUACCAUAAAUCCAAAAACUUAUUAGCAAACGUUUGCGUAAUUAUGGUAAUUUAAAAUUCAUUACAAUCCCCAAAUUAUCUCCCUUAAAUAUUCUAUAAAGAUUUGUUUUCCAAAAGCUACAUAUACGACACACACCACCUCUCUCUUCUCUCUCACAAUGGUUAAAACUAAAGCACUAGCUCCCUACUCUACCUUAGAUUAAAUCUACGACGAUCAUUUAACCGCAGGUAACAAUAAGAUUGUUGUUCGGAUCAUCCAUAGUUGGGAAUUUUGAGACUUUAGAAGAAACAAUAGCUUACUAAGUCUUGAAUGUCUUCUUUUUGACGAAAAUAAGCUUCUGUCCUCCCUAAUCGGCUGCCUAACUUCCAAGAUCAAAUGGUUCUAGGCAAUUUGUACGGCAUCAAUGAUUUCGAUGUUGUUGCUUCCUCAAACCGUUAUCGUCGAACCAACCACAAAUGUAAAAUUGUUUUCACAGACAAAACGUUUUUGGACAGUGUUAAAGAGCGACAUUGCUCCAUUGGUUACGAAUAUGUUAGGAUGUAAGUUGCUUGAAUUGGUAAACAAGGGCGAUCGAGGAGCUUCUAGACCAAACAAACCCUCCCAAGAUAACAUUCAAUAUUAUAUUGACUUGCAUUUUAGAAAGGAAAUACAACAAAAACAUUCCUUCCAAUGAUGUGUCCUACCAACAAGUUAAGAAAAGUCAACCACUACUAGUUUCAUCCGGUUCUGAAACCAAAGAACAACAAGUAAUCAACAUGCCAUCACAUCAAUACAAGCCAUAUAGAGGGCCUCGGGGUCGGUGGUAAAAACAAAAGGCGAGUCAAACUAUGUUGACGAGAUUAAAAAAUUUCAAGAAUGUCGAUAUAUUUCAGCAUGUGAGGCAAUGUGGAGGAUAUUUCGUUUGAUAUUCACUAUAGCAGACCAGCCGUUCAACACCUUUCUUUGCACCUGCCUGACCAACAACCUCUUAUAUUCGAUGCAAACCAAAGUCUCGACAGUGUCAUUUCACGAGAUGGAGUUGACAGGACAAUGUUUACAGAGUGGAUGAAGAUUAAUCAAAGUGACGAAGAAGCCAAAAGUAUGACAUAUGUUCAAUUCCCAACUCGGUUUGUCUGGAAUACCACGACAAAAAAAUGGACAAAAAGAAAACAAGGUUUCAAAAAGUUUGAAGCACUCGAUAUCUAAAAGUGCGCAAAAAACAAAUCAUCUCAUCUGAUUCUGAAGAACAUUUAGACGGCGAAGAGGCGACACCUUAGCACAUCUAUUAUUGUAACUUGACGUUACUAUCUUUACAAUUUCCUAUAUUAGUCUACUUCUCAAAUCUUUAGUUUCACAAGUUAUUUUUAUUUCACAAGUUAUUUCUCUUUAUACAUUUUGUUUCUUUCUCUGGUUCUGUAAUAAACCAUUAUCUUAUCACUAUAGUUUGAGCACCA